GAAGGUAUAGCUUAGUAGUAGAGUACAUGCUUAGCAUGCAUGAGGUCCUGGGUUCAAUCCCGUGUACUUCCA
rfam:Camelus ferus unplaced genomic scaffold scaffold1781, whole genome shotgun sequence.